UGCCCCUUAAAUAGGGACUUGUAUCAACGGCAUCACGAGGGUUAUACUGUCUCCCCCAUCUAAUCAGUGAAACUGACCUCCCCGUGAAGAGACGGGGAUACAACUACAAGACGAGAAGACCCCAUGGAGCUUUAAACCCAAUGACAGCCCAUACUCAAACACCCCCACACAAAUAUAAAGCAAUGUACAUUGGUUUUGGGUUGGGGUGACCGCGGAGCAAAAUUAAACCUCCAUGACGAACAGGAAUACUCCUAAUCUAUGAACUGCCACUCUAAGAAUCAAUAAAUUUGACGUAAUAUGAUCCGGCAACCGAUCAACGAACCAAGUUACCCUGGGGAUAACAGCGCAAUCCAUUUCAAGAGCUCCUAUCGACAAAUGGGUUUACGACCUCGAUGUUGGAUCAGGGUAUCCCAGUGGUGCAGCCGCUACUAAAGGUUUGUUUGUUCAACAAUUAAAAC
rnacentral:rRNA from 1 species